CCUACGUUGGCACCCUCAGCUGCAGACCCUCAAUGGUUCUCUGACAACAGCCGGACUGGAUGACACAUUAAAGGAAAAUGGCUGCAGAUUGACAUCUAACUGACAUUUGUAUGUUUGUUACAUGACUAUAAGCAUUAGCCAAGACCCAAAAUCAACACUGUAA